rnacentral:rRNA from 1 species
AGGAGGAGAGAAGGAAAGGAUGUUCUAAAAAGAUGAGAAAAAAAAAGAGAAAGGGAUGGGACGAUGAUGAGGGAGAAAUGCCGGUGAACAAACCGGGGGAAGGAUGGGGAUGAACGAUCAAGUCAUUCAUGGACCCUUACGGCCUGGGAUACACACGUGCUACCGAUGGUUCGGUACAAAGGGGUUGCCAAGCCGCGAGGUGGAGCUAAUCCCAUAAAACCGAUCGUAGUCCGGAUCGCAGUCUGCAACUCGACUGCGUGAAGUCGGAAUCGCUAGUAAUCGUGAAUCAGAAUGUCACGGUGAAUACGUUCCCGGGCCUUGUACACACCGCCCGUGAAUUCACUAGUGAAUUCG